CUCGCCUGUGGCAGUGGCUGAAGGCACCAGCUCACGUCCUCUUGGCGUCUUUACGGGUCCAGAACCUGAGGUAUGAGUUGUUCUGUCACUGUUACUGACCUUUUGAACACUGUUAGCGUUAGCGAUGCUGUUUCCAUUCAAAUAAAGUAAAAGGCUAAAGUUUCCUCUGGAACAAUCAACAGAGGACAUCUUUCAAAUCUCCUCUAAUGAUUUUGCCUUUGCUGGAUCUCUCAAUCAAUGACUGAGCCUUAAUGCACUUCAAUGGAUUAGUUUAGGUAUUUAAACACUGAAACACUUUAAUUAGACGGCGCUUUUUAAAGUCUGGAGUGUUUGGCUGUGACUGCAGCUGUUCAGUCCCAGGAAGCUGUGGAUCAGAGACGAGGGUGAAGGAGGACGGAACCUUGUGGAGCCUGAGCUGUCGUUGGGCUGAGGAGACCUCUGAGGUCUCAUCUCAGAUGCAUUUGUCCAGUUGCCCCAGAAAUUAAUAAACCAGGUCAUUUGAUUCUUUUUGAUUUCAGCUCUGAUUGUGUGUGAAGGAGAACAAAUUAUAGCACAAACCUGUGGACCUGAAUAAUUGGAGCGUCUACACUUCAUCCGGACAGCGACCGUUCUCACAAAGCAGCAGUGAAGGGUUCCACCGCGUCCUGCGGCUCCGGUCUGCGUCCUGUUCUGCUGGUUCCGCACUCCACCACCAGGUGUCCUCGGACCUUCUCUGAGGUCCUGAUCACUUGAUUCUGUCCCCACCUGCACACACCUGGCUGCUUUCACCUGUUGAUGGGUUAAUUGGACUCUGCUGGUCUGCCGAUUCCUUUGAACCUGUUGUUUUUUUUUUUGGACCAGUUUUAAUGAUGUUUUGAAGUCGUGACUCCUCCUUGUGGACUUCGCCUCCCGUUCUUCCUGAUUAUUUCUCGUCUGCCUGUAACAAGCGAUGGAUAACCUGGACCUGAACCCGACUGGGGAAAAAAGAGGAACCGGUGGAAAGAGACAGAGGGAGGAAGCUCCACAUAAAACACAGAGAAGACGACUGACUCAGAUUAAAACAAUGACUAAAUAGUUAUUAAUGCUAGGUGAUGCUCCUGCUGGGCUGAGUGGAUGCUGCUUUCUACUAAUGGCGACCUUGCUCGUUUCCACUGUCUACUUGAAUGUUUUCUGUAGUUUCCCAUGUGUGAGGCUCCGCUGACAAAUCAGCACGGCUGCUAAGCUAAAUAAGCGGGAGUCACUCAGACGCUCCCUCUGUUCUGGCAUUCACUGAAUUUUGCAUGUGCUGAGUUUGACUGGUGACUUGAACAAACACACAAACUGUACUUGAGGCCUGUAUUUGCAGCCUGGAGCAAGAAAGGACAAAGAAACUAGAGAACAAAUGAUUUGUACUUUUUAAUCAGCGUUGAAUAAGUCAUAAUGUUGAACUAAAGCAGCUGUUCGCACCCGUCGCAGCUUCCACCUCUGUGCUGCUGUUUCCAAACAUGCACUGGACUAGCGAUGAUUUUUGACUCUUUAAACUCUUCCUGAUUCGACUUGUGCAGUUUUACCGUAUCCAGCUUUUCUCUCCUUCACUGCUGCUGUGAUUUCCGUUCAUGAAGCAACGUCAGGCGUCCUCCAUCUUAAAGCAUCACAUCCGCUGUCCGUCCUCAGGUCAGUCAGACGUGUAAAGGAGCAUUCCCUGCUUCUAAAUGCCAGCACAUCGUCAAGUGACCAAAACCUUUAAGGGAACAAAGUGAAUAUGUGACUUGGCAGAUUUGAGCAGAUGGUGGUUUCCCUCUGAUGAAUUUAAAUGAUGCACCUGAAUCGACGUUUUCUCAGGAAUGCAUAAAAAUCGACUUGUUGUCCUAAUCAAUGCAUUUUGAGAAUCUGCCAAAGCAGAGCAGGACUCAAUCUGCUGAGCGGACGCGUAAAUGCCACCGGCUCCGGAUGGAAUUUAACUCCUUCUAACCACACGAAGGCUCAACUAAUGCAGGAUCCUGUGGCUCUGGUGACAGACAAAUGACAGAACAGCACGAGAAGAAAGCAUGUGGUUGAAUGUGAGAGACUGAUGUAACCUGUCCUGCAUCGGCCCC
rnacentral:lncRNA from 1 species